AAUAUUAGAGUGUUUCAUUAUUUUAGUCUUGAGUUACAACUAACUCUUUUACAAAAUAAUCAUGAUCAAGGAAAACAUGUACAUAGUGAUUGUUUAUUUGCUCCAAUGAAAAAACUGCAUCAUUUUGAGAUACAGUAUGCUUCUACCUCAGUGGCUGAUACACUUUUCCCCCUGCUGUUAUUGGUAACUUAAUUUUUUUGCUUACUUCAUAAUUAAGAUGAAUAUCAUCAACAUAAUUCCUAAACGAUUCUCCGAUAUUGAGUUGAAUAUCUAUAUUAGUAAAACUGGGUAAUUUGGAGAGAACAUGUUCUGGUACAAAUGGAUAUAUGCCAGUAGCCUUAAAUCCUGCUUGGAGAUUAUGUUCUAGAUUUUCUUUACCAACAUUAAGAGUAGAUUUAAUGAGCUGCGUAAACAAAUUUUUUGGCAGGUUAUUAACCUUUUUUCCUCUGGAUGUUUUACGCCAUUGAUUAAGAACUGACCUCCAAUUAGCUUUUAAACUCGAGAAAUAUCCAACAUCUAAAGGUUGUAAAAGGUGUGUGGAAUUGGGUACCAAACAUAUAAAUGUUA